GCCAAAUUUCAUCUCAGAACGUUUUCGGGACAUAGAUUUGUAAUAAUAACUUGAACCAACAUUUCUUUGUGCUUGUUAGGAGAAAGAAUGCUCUGGUGCGCAGCUUUAAGCCGGAAAUUUCAGGGUUUGCAGCACGUUUAACAGCACCAGAUGCACAAUCAAUUACUAAAACACCUGGAGCUGUAUCAGUUUUUCCUGAUCCUGUCUAUCACCUCCACACAACUCGUUCCUGGGAUUUCUUGAAGUAUGGAACCGAUCUGGAGAUUAAUUCGAGUCCCAAUUCUGACUCGAACUUGUUCUCUCAAGGAUCUGACACCAUCAUUGGAUUUUUAGAUUCAGGUAUUUGGCCCGAGUCUGAAAGUUUCAACGACAUGGAUAUGAGUCCAAUACCAUCGCGCUGGAAAGGUGCCUGUAUGCUAGCUGCAUUCAGCGAUGCCAUUGAAGAUGGUGUUGAUAUUUAUCACUAGGUUCAAUAGCCAGUGGAGCGUUCCAUGCCGUAGAGAAUGGGAUCACUUUGGUCUGCUCUGCAGGAAAUGAGGGGCCAACCAAAGAAACAGUAACCAAGAAGUUUGUGUCUGAUGUUGUGUUGGGUGGAAACAAGGUGGUCGAGAAAUGAUCGAUCCUAUAUAAAAUUGAGUCAAUUGAACAUGAAGGGAGUUCACAUUUCAAUUCAAGGCGAAGCCAUGAAUUUUGCCAAUAUUGGAGAAUCUCCAGGGCAUCCAUUGAUGUCUGCAAUGUCAGCUAAGAACACUUAAGCGGGUGAAAAUUAGGCUAGAAACUGCAACCCAGAUUCUAUGGUUGGUGACAUGAUCAAAGGAAAGAUUGUCAUCUGUGAGAAUGACGACGAUACACGCUCGCAGGAUGCCAAGAAAGAGGGAGUGCAGAGCUUGGGAGGGGAUGGUAUUGUUUAGGUUGAGGACAAGACAAGGGGAUUUGCAGACAAUUUCAUGGAAUUUCUGAUGACUGUGAUCAGUUCAAAGGAUGCUGCAGAGGUCCUUGCCUACAUAGAUAAAAAUCCAGUCGCAACAACCUGCCUACCAGAAACUAGCACCUAUCGUGGCAUAUUUUUCAUCAAGAGGGCCUUCCUCAAUCUCAAGAAAUAUCCUCAAGGAAAAGCCUCUCUUUCUCCUGGACACUUUAUUUGAUUGGAUUCAUGAAUAAUAUAUCUCCCACGAAUCAAAGAAGAAUCACCGGAGUUUAUAUGUAAUCAAAUUGUUCUCUUGUUCGAGCUUUGCAGCCCCAGAAGCAGACAAUGUGGCAGCUUGGAAGGCCAAUGAUACAGAAGUGAAUCUAAGAGGUACAGAAUCCCCACAAUUCAACGUGAUUUCAGGAACUUCAACGUCAUGUCCACAUGUUUCUGCAAUGAUUGCUGUGGUCAAACCCGAGUAUCCUUCAUGGAGUCCCUCUGCAAUAAAAUCUGCCAUAAUGACAACAGCAUCUCUCAAAUAAACAAUACGAAGGAUCCAAU